GAUGAGCAGCGAACGGGUGAGUAACGCGUGGGGAAUCUGCCUUUGAGCGGGGGACAACAUUUGGAAACGAAUGCUAAUACCGCAUAAAAACUUUAAACACAAGUUUUAAGUUUGAAAGAUGCAAUUGCAUCACUCAAAGAUGAUCCCGCGUUGUAUUAGCUAGUUGGUGAGGUAAAGGCUCACCAAGGCGAUGAUACAUAGCCGACCUGAGAGGGUGAUCGGCCACAUUGGGACUGAGACACGGCCCAAACUCCUACGGGAGGCAGCAGUAGGGAAUCUUCGGCAAUGGACGAAAGUCUGACCGAGCAACGCCGCGUGAGUGAAGAAGGUUUUCGGAUCGUAAAACUCUGUUGGUAGAGAAGAACGUUGGUGAGAGUGGAAAGCUCAUCAAGUGACGGUAACUACCCAGAAAGGGACGGCUAACUACGUGCCAGCAGCCGCGGUAAUACGUAGGUCCCGAGCGUUGUCCGGAUUUAUUGGGCGUAAAGCGAGCGCAGGUGGUUUAUUAAGUCUGGUGUAAAAGGCAGUGGCUCAACCAUUGUAUGCAUUGGAAACUGGUAGACUUGAGUGCAGGAGAGGAGAGUGGAAUUCCAUGUGUAGCGGUGAAAUGCGUAGAUAUAUGGAGGAACACCGGUGGCGAAAGCGGCUCUCUGGCCUGUAACUGACACUGAGGCUCGAAAGCGUGGGGAGCAAACAGGAUUAGAUACCCUGGUAGUCCACGCCGUAAACGAUGAGUGCUAGAUGUAGGGAGCUAUAAGUUCUCUGUAUCGCAGCUAACGCAAUAAGCACUCCGCCUGGGGAGUACGACCGCAAGGUUGAAACUCAAAGGAAUUGACGGGGGCCCGCACAAGCGGUGGAGCAUGUGGUUUAAUUCGAAGCAACGCGAAGAACCUUACCAGGUCUUGACAUACUCGUGCUAUUCCUAGAGAUAGGAAGUUCCUUCGGGACACGGGAUACAGGUGGUGCAUGGUUGUCGUCAGCUCGUGUCGUGAAUUGGUUAAGUCCCGCAACGAGCGCAACCCCUAUUGUUAGUUGCCAUCAUUAAGUUGGGCACUCUAACGAGACUGCCGGUGAUAAACCGGAGGAAGGUGGGGAUGACGUCAAAUCAUCAUGCCCCUUAUGACCUGGGCUACACACGUGCUACAAUGGAUGGUACAACGAGUCGCGAGACAGUGAUGUUUAGCUAAUCUCUUAAAACCAUUCUCAGUUCGGAUUGUAGGCUGCAACUCGCCUACAUGAAGUCGGAAUCGCUAGUAAUCGCGGAUCAGCACGCCGCGGUGAAUACGUUCCCGGGCCUUGUACACACCGCCCGUCACACCACGGGAGUUGGGAGUACCCGAAGUAGGUUGCCUAACCGCA
rnacentral:rRNA from 1 species